UGGGGAAUAUUGCACAAUGGGCGAAAGCCUGAUGCAGCAACGCCGCGUGAGGGACGACGGCCUUCGGUUGUAAACCUCUUUUAGCAAGGAAGAAGCGAAAGUGACGGUACUUGCAGAAAAAGCGCCGGCUAACUACGUGCCAGCAGCCGCGGUAAUACGUAGGGCGCAAGCGUUUAUCCGGAAUUAUUGGGCGUAAAGAGCUCGUAGGCGGCUUGUCGCGUCUGCUGUGAAAACCCGAGGCUCAACCUCGGGCCUGCAGUGGGUACGGGCAGACUAGAGUGCGGUAGGGGAGAUUGGAACUCCUGGUGUAGCGGUGGAAUGCGCAGAUAUCAGGAAGAACACCGAUGGCGAAGGCAGAUCUCUGGGCCGUAACUGACGCUGAGGAGCGAAAGGGUGGGGAGCAAACAGGCUUAGAUACCCUGGUAGUCCACCCCGUAACGUUGGGAACUAGUUGUGGGGUCCAUUCCACGGAUUCCGUGACGCAGCUAACGCAUUAAGUUCCCCGCCUGGGGAGUACGGCCGCAAGGCU
rnacentral:rRNA from 1 species